CCGGACCGGCGCACGGGUGAGUAACACGUAUGCAAUCCACCUGUAACAGGGGGAUAACCCGGAGAAAUCCGGACUAAUACCCCAUAAUAUGGGCGCUCCGCAUGGAGAGUUCAUUAAAGAGAGCAAUUUUGGUUACAGACGAGCAUGCGCUCCAUUAGCCAGUUGGCGGGGUAACGGCCCACCAAGGCGACGAUGGAUAGGGGUUCUGGGAGGAAGGUCCCCCACAUUGGAACUGAGACACGGUCCAA
rnacentral:rRNA from 1 species